rnacentral:tRNA from 1 species
ACCUGGGUGGCUCAGUCGGUUGAGCAUCUGACUUCGGCUCAGGUCAUGAUCUCACAGUUCGUGGGUUCGAGCCCCGCUCCCAGGCU